CUGAAAACUGAACAAGUGGAGUCCUUGAAGUCAAGCCAACUCUGCACUGAGCCUUCGAAAUGAAGAGAUAGGUAGAGCAGGUCAUGUGCAAAGUAAACACAAGACCUUCUUAUUUACCAAUGACA